rnacentral:lncRNA from 1 species
CGUUACUGACAUGAAGGGUCUUUCACAAAUUCCUUCCAUCUGCAAGCUCUUCCUUCGCUUUUCCACAGCAUUUUAACCCAGCCUGUAUAAUGCCACCCAUCCAGCUGCCCAUUCAUCCAACUAAUAGCAAAUGUUUUCUAGGAGCCAACCCUUUCCUGGAGCUGGGGCUAGAUCUGGGAAGAGGAAACAGCUUUGCCUUCCAGGAGGCUCACAGGUGACACAGACAAGAGGAGAGGCGAUGACUAGACUCUCAUCCUAACAACCUCCUUCACCAGACAGAGGCUCUGGAGGAGAGAGGAUCCCAGGUUCUUCACCUUGCAUCUUUAGCACCUAACCCAGAGCAAUACCGGGGAUCAAACUCAAGGCCUUGUGCUUGCCAGGCAGAUGCCAUGCCACUGAGCUAUGUCCCAGACCUGAAGAUUAUGUCUGAUUUUUAAUAUGGACAUUUUCACUCACCUGUGACUAGUAUCUACAGCCUUCCGAACACAAACCAAAGCCUCUUGGAGUCUGAAGAAUUACAGUUUGUUUAUGAGUGGCCAGGAAGAACCCAGCCAGAGAAAAUCCCUGCCUGCUGUGGGCCCUGAAGGAGCUGUUGUCUCCGAUGAUCACAUCUCCAGACCAGCACAGGUCCCAGGGGGCUGCUGUCCAUACCGUGGCAAGGAACCAGACUGAGACCCGCAGGUGGAGAAAUGGUGGGGACACAAGGAUCGAAGACUGUCAUUCACUCCUGUGUUCACUCACUUGCUCCAUGAUACUUCCUAAGCAUCCAGUGUGGACAGGACAUUGCUUCUCUGGAGACACAGCAGGCAACAACAUUCCGCCAUCCAAAAG